GACGAACGCUGGCGGCGUGCUUAACACAUGCCAGUCGAACGGAAAGGCCCUGCUUUUGUGGGGUGCUCGAGUGGCGAACGGGUGAGUAACACGUGAGUAACCUGCCCUUGACUUUGGGAUAACUUCAGGAAACUGGGGCUAAUACCGGAUAGGAGCUCCUGCUGCAUGGUGGGGGUUGGAAAGUUUCGGCGGUUGGGGAUGGACUCGCGGCUUAUCAGCUUGUUGGUGGGGUAGUGGCUUACCAAGGCUUUGACGGGUAGCCGGCCUGUGAGGGUGACCGGCCACAUUGGGACUGAGAUACGGCCCAGACUCCUACGGGAGGCAGCAGUGGGGAAUAUUGCACAAUGGGCGGAAGCCUGAUGCAGCAACGCCGCGUGCGGGAUGACGGCCUUCGGGUUGUAAACCGCUUUCGCCUGUGACGAAGCGUGAGUGACGGUAAUGGGUAAAGAAGCACCGGCUAACUACGUG
rnacentral:rRNA from 1 species